rnacentral:rRNA from 1 species
AUACGGAAGGUCCGGGCGUUAUCCGGAUUUAUUGGGUUUAAAGGGAGCGCAGGCGGAGAUGCAAGCGUGACGUCAAAUUUCGGGGCUCAACCCCGUCUCGCGUCGCGAACUGCGUCCCUUGGUUGCGGGAAGGGGAGGCGGAACUCGUGGUGUAGCGGUGAAAUGCAUAGAUAUCACGAAGAACUCCGAUCGCGAAGGCAGCCUUUCGGCCCGUCAACGACGCUCAUGCUCGAAGGUGCGGGUAUCAAACAGGAUUAGAUACCCUGGUAGUCCGCACAGUAAACGAUGGACACCCGCGGUUUGGCCUGUAUGGCUGAGCCGCCAAGCGAAAGCGUUAAGUGUCCCACCUGGGGAGUACGCCGGCAACGGUGAAACUCAAAGGAAUUGACGGGG